rnacentral:ribozyme from 1 species
UGCCCAGCAACUCCUAUCCCUACCUCCUCGCGGUACCGGCCGGAAACUAUGAGCAACCUUAGGGAAGAUCGAGUAACCAACCCCGGUGGGAACUUUGGUCGUAGGCUGACAGGGAAGG